UUUUGAAACGGAACCGGCAGGAGAGCUGCCUGUUAUAUUAAAAAGGAGAGGCAAAAACUAGAGUGCAAAACUGGAACAAGCAACAAAACUUUACACUAUACAUAGAGCGCCCGCGUUCGAACUCUCUAGAGGAAACUCAAGCUCCACUAAUUAGACACGCCAGGUGCUUCGCCCCUGCCAGAAUCCAAGCCGAAGCCUCUCCCUUAAUCUUCUCUGCCACUGUAAAAGAAGGCACUUCUGUACUGUUAAAAAUACGUGCAUUAAGCUCAUUCCAAAUCUCCCAGCAAACGAGAAUGACAAGUGAUUUCAAACCCUUGCGCGAAACUCCUCUUAUCGCAGCCAUCUCCGACCACCACUCGUGGACCGAGUUUGUGCAAGUCCAGUUUGUCGGAUGCAGAGACAGCUCCCCAAGCCAAAAGGAUAAGGCGGCCCAAAUACGCCCGGUGAACCUUUAGUCGACGAAAAGGUAAUUUCCCGUCUCCGGACAGCUACAGCAAAGUGAACAGGUUGGGUUAUGCGGCCAGUCUCUUGCGCUCAGUCUAUCUGCCGUCCAAAUUCUAUCUUGUACAGCUAGCCGGCUAAAGAAUUUGCAUUUUGGUGGUGCCCAGGCCGACCAGAUGAUUUGGUUGAAGUUGGUGCUCAUUGCCCCUGGAACUGUGCGUGGUAGGCGGAGCUUGUUGAAAACUGGCCCGACUCGUUGAAUUUCCAACAGAUUUCAUCUUGGAUGUGCGGAGUGAGGUUCACCCUUUGGAUUGUUCUCCAGAGCUGCACAAAUUCUACGAUGAGCUGCGCAGAGAAGGAUGGGUGUAACAUGUCUAAAUCCUUUAUCCAAGUGUUUCUAGCCAGUGCUUCAUAUAGCGUUCUGUUUUUUUCAUGGAGAUAGUGUAUACAGAUGGUGCCAUAUCCCUUGGACGUAUUCCCUGCAUUCAAACACUAUUCCAAAAGGCUAUUUUCUUCCCAUUCCCAAUUUUGAUGGUGGUUGCUGCCACAAAUAGGUGCUUAUCAGUUUUGUUGCAAGAAAACUCACUGCCGACCCAAGGUUUGUCCUCAGGAUUCUAGUCGCGCCAAAGGCAACGAAGACGGAGAGCUCUCGCAAAUUUGCCGAGGUGCAGGAUACCUAGGCCUCCAUUCUUUUUCGAUCGUGCAGCCCUUGUCCAAUUCACCUUGCACUUGGCCCUCGUAAUUCUCUCUGUGCCGGCCCAAAGAAACGGUUUGCGCUUUGCAUCAAUAUCCUGCAAGGUUGGCUUUGGUGCACGUAAAGCCGGUUUGGUCGCAUUGCCAGUAAGCUACCGUGUGUGCUGGGCAGUGGACACAGCGAAUGUGCUGGACAGUGGACACGUACGCAAGGAUUCUGUACAUGUACUGUAUGAGGUGUGUCAUCAAGGAGAUUAUUGCUGAUGAAGGCAAACUAUACAUUGUACGGUGUCAUCGACCUGGGAGCGAGCCAGCCAUAGGGAAAGCGUGUCAGCAUCCUGAUAUGAUCUGACGAUAGAUUGGGCUAGUGAUUUGGGGGAAAGAAGAUGGAGAUAGAUGAGAAAUUUAGGGUUCUAAGAGCAACUCCAGCCGGGCCCUUAAAUGGGACUCUAUCUCUUGUUUUAGUCUCCCAAUAAAAAAAACAUCUCCAACCGAGCUCCUAUACGAGCCCCCAUUUUGGGGAGGCCACUAAAUUUUGGUCCAGAGUCCCUAGAACUGGAGGCCCUCUAAAUUUAGUCACCCUGCUGGAGUUUGAAGCCCCUAAAUUUUUAUAGGCUGGCUCCUAAAAGCAAUAUAGGGGCUCAAAUUUAGUCUCUCCGUUAGAGUUGCUCUAAGCUGCUACUAUGAGGUGUGUCAAGGAGAUUAUAAUAGCAAUAAUGCGCGACUUCCUUUCCUUCGUUAGUUACUGUCACCGGUCACCGGUUAUGUACUCCGGGUGGGGGCCGGGGUUCCUUUUUUUUUUCCUUAGAGAACAGCAGUGGUCUUUGACCGUCGUCGGAUACGUGCAGGCACGUCAACAACCACGCACCAACCACUAUACCACAGCCCCAAAAUCCCAACAGAUGUCGGUUGGGAAAAGUAGAAGAUUAGCAACGAACAGUCGGUCGGUAAAGUUCUGUAACAAACCAUUGGUCGGUAAUUCAAGUUUCACCGACCGAUCAUCAGUCGGCAUUUAUAUUCACAUAUACCAUCAAACUAUCUGUCGGUAAUACUUUGUAUUUGCAUCGAACCAUUCGUCGGUAUAUAUGGAGUGGAGCCCAAUCUGAUGUUUAAUGGGCUGACCAUAUCGGCCCAACCAUCUGUGACCACUCAUCAAGAUGAACGGCUCACGUUCUUCCGACCAAGGUAUAAAAAGGUUGGGUAAAAACCUAACCCUAGUUUUCUCAUUCUCCCUCCAUCCUCUCACGCGCCCACAUGGAAACAGAGGGAGGAUUGAGCAGGCAGAGGCAGCUGUUCGGGGGCACGCUCGUGCCCUUCCCCGGCGCUCACCGGUGGCCCGCGCUGGAGGCCGGCGGUCGGGGGGCCCGCGCCCGCGACUGCGGCCGGCGGCCAGCGCCUGGGGUAGCGUCGCGUUUGCGCCGGGCCGGGGGGCUGCGCCGAGCCGUGGGCUGAAGCCACGCUGGCGGCCGGGGUCGGCGCCGCGCGCAUAGGCACCCGCGCCAUGGCCAGAGGCUAGCCGCGCCGCACCGGCGGCCGGGGGCCUCGCCUAUCUAUUUCGCCGAUAUGAGGCUCCGUCGCCACCACCGCAAACGCGGGCGCGAGGACGAGGAGGCGAGGAACUGGGCGUAUGUCGUCGUUCCCGGGCUCCUCCACAGCGACGCCGGCACAGGGCCCCAGCAACUUCGACAGUAAGCCGCGUCACCACCUGUGACUCGUGGCCUGCAGCCCCAUCGAGCUUCUCGCCGAUUUAGGGUAGCAGAUUUACUAGGUGGUGUAUUUGCAAAUGUUAUGGGCUUCUAGAACAGGUUGCGUUUACUCUUGUUUGCUUCUAGUUUUAGUCUUAUUUUUAUUUCCUCUCUAUAGGCUCAAAUGCACUCGAGCUUACACCAAACUUGCAAUUUUUCUUCACGAUUGUAGGGUCCUACCUGGGGCUCCUUAAUUUUAUUGCUGCCAUCAGUUUUGCAAUUGGAUCUUAACCAAAAACCAUCAUGCUUCUAUUGAAUUUCAAGCAGUUCUAGGAGAUGCUAGCUUGAUGGUGUCAGGAGCAAGCAAGACAUUUAAAGUGCUUAUGGAAGCUGUGUUUUGUUUCAAAGAUGCAUUAGAAGGAGUCGACUGCUCUGCUGUGUUCUUGGCAUCAUGUGGUAAAUUAUUUCAACAACAUGAUGAACUUGUUGGAAAGGAUGUGAUAUUAUAUGCCUUGCUGCGAUCUGAUGUAGCAGUGGCUAAGGGGAACAAUUAUUUCAACUGAUCCAAAGAGCACGCUAGGAGAUGUGGCUCUUGGAAAUCAGUAUUGUGAAGUGGUUGUGAAUGUUGUGCUGAAAAGGGAUACAAUUCUGCAUCGUCCUUAUGGUUAUGUGGAGACUAUGGCUGAUGCACAUAAGAUGUCAAUUGCAUGGCCAUACAAAAGAUUGAAGAUUACCAAAGGAUCACAAUCUACCCAAUGUACAACAGGUGGGAGGUCUUAUUGGUGGCAUGAUGGUUGAUCAUGUAAGCAACAAGGGGAUCAACGCUCAUGGACACUUAUUUUGGGCAGUGCUUAUGGGCAUUUUUAUUUUGGGUAGUGCUCAUUUGGAAUAUCUAGGCUGGCUUCUAUUAUUUUGUAAAUGUGGGCAUGUGGCUGCUGCUUGUAAUGUGGUCUCUGACAAACCCAACAGACUAUCUAGCUAGCUUGACUUGAGCACUGUGACAUCACAAAUGAUGUUUAUGAUGAAGCUUUGCCAACCAAUUAUAUAUUGUUGAAUAUAUGUAGGAUUCAUAUGAAAACUAUGAGCUCUAUUUUAAUCAAUACUAUGUUUGAUAUCUGUUGGAUUCAAAUGAAAAA